rnacentral:pre_miRNA from 1 species
CAAAUACUCCCUCCGUUCGGAAUUACUUGUCUCGGAAAUGGAUGUAUCUAGAACUAAAAUACAUCUAGAUACAUCCAUUUUCGCGACAAGUAAUUCCGAACGGAGGAAGUAGUAA